AAUGAACGUUGGCGGCAUGGAUUAGGCAUGCAAGUCGAGCGAGAAGUGUAGCAAUACACGGAAAGCGGCGGAAGGGAGAGUAAUACGUGGGAAUCUGCCCUUGGACCUGGGAUAGCAGCGGGAAACUGCUGGUAAUACCAGAUAAUGUCUAUGGACCAAAGGUGUGAUUCCGUCUAGGGAUGAGCCCACGUCCUAUUAGCUAGUUGGUAGGGUAAUGGCCUACCAAGGCGAUGAUGGGUAGCGGGUGUGAGAGCAUGACCCGCCUCACUGGGACUGAGACACUGCCCAGACACCUACGGGUGGCUGCAGUCGAGAAUCUUCGGCAAUGGGCGCAAGCCUGACCGAGCGAUGCCGCGUGCGGGAUGAAGGCCUUCGGGUUGUAAACCGCUGUCGAGGGGGAGCAACUUCCAUAGAGUUAUCUUUAUGGAUUGAGUGAUCCCUGGAGGAAGGACGGGCUAAAUUCGUGCCAGCAGCCGCAGUAAUAC
rnacentral:rRNA from 1 species